rnacentral:misc_RNA from 1 species
UUUUAUGUAUGUUACAUCAGAACUUUUGACUGGGUGGAGCGAUUUCGACAAAUUUUCUUGUAAUCGAAAGGUGGUGUGUGCCAAUUGGUCCCAUUUAAAUGUAUUUGACAUCUAACAACUACUUUUAGAGUUAUAUCUAAUAAUGCGUUUUUACUUGACGCUUUUUUCGUCGACCUACGUUGUAUUAUACCGCAUAACUUUCUACUGGAUGUACCGAUUUUGAUAAUUCUUUUUUUGUUGGAAAGG